rnacentral:rRNA from 1 species
UACAGAGGGUGCAAACGUUGCUCGGAAUUACCGGGCGUAAAGGGUGCGUAGGCGGGUCUUUAAGUCAGGGGUGAAAUCCUGGAGCUCAACUGCCAGAACUGCCUUUGAUACUGAGGAUCUUGAGUUCGGGAGAGGUGAGUGGAACUGCGAGUGUAGAGGUGAAAUUCGUAGAUAUCGGGAGGAACACCAGUGGCGAAGGCGGCGAUCUGGGAAGAUACUGACGCUGAGGUGCGAAAGCGUGGGGAGCAAACAGG